rnacentral:lncRNA from 1 species
CAACCAUUCUCCAAGGAGCCCAGAUUCCUUUACUGGAGGACAGUGUUGAGAGACCAGGAUGUGGCCACAGCCUGUGCUUGCUGUCGCUGAAGCUGCAGCUUCAGCUCUGUCAGCAGCUGGAGCCAGGAGAGGAGAGGAGGGUCCGUGACUCACGUGUGCAUGCACGUGCAGGGAGGACCUGCAAAUCAUCAUUAUCUGCAGAAUAUCCACUGGUUCCACACUGGCAAACACAUAGUUUGCUAAUCCACACCCCUGUGGGAAACAAAUUUACCAACUGGAGUGUGGUGUUUCUGAACAGCUCUUGCGCCUUUAACCUCACAGUAUUAAAGGAAAGCAGAAUGCGUCACUGUAAAAUAUGCCUCUUUGACAUAAAACUUAUUUUGAGCUAAAAGCAAUUUAGCAGCAAAUGGAGGAAAAGCUCUUCUACACCAAGACAGGAUAUAAAUUCUCCUUUACUGGAGACAACUCUGGAUGCUCACCAGCUCGGAGAAGAUACCAGGGAAAUCUGCAAGCAAACCUUACCCCAUUCGUUUCCUCUCAUAUAUUUUAGCUUCCCACAAUUUCCCACCUUUGGAAGCCCAGAAUUGCUUUCUUUUGCCCUCUGUCUGCAAAUGUAUUGUUCUUUCCUGCAGAUGCUGUAAGCCAGAGUUGUGAGCCACUGCUUUGUUAUUUUCACUGAGUGAGGUGGUUUGGAUAUUUGUCCCUCCAAAUCUCAUGUUGAAAUACAUAAUCUCCAGUGUUGGAGGUGGGGCCUGGUGGGAGAUGUGUGGGUCAUGGGGGCGGAUUCCUCGUGAAUGGCUUGGUUCUCUCCUUGUGGUACCAAGCGAGAACCUGUUCUGAGUUCAUGAGAGCUGGUGGUUUCAGGCGGCCUGGCGUCUCUCUCUUGCCAGGUGAUGCGCCUGCUCCUCCGCCUUCUGCCACGAUUGGAAGCUCCCUGAGGCCUUCCUAGAAGCAGAUGCCAGCACCAUGCAUUCUGUGCAGCCUGCAGAACCAUGAGCCAAAAUAAAC